rnacentral:rRNA from 1 species
CAGCCGCCGCGGUAAGACGAACCGUGCGAACGUUGUUCGGAAUCACUGGGCUUAAAGGGCGCGUAGGCGGGCUGCCAAGUCUGUGGUGAAAUCCUCCGGCUCAACCGGGGAAGUGCCAUGGAUACUGGCGGCCUCGAGGGAGGUAGGGGCGUGCGGAACUGUGGGUGGAGCGGUGAAAUGCGUUGAUAUCCACAGGAACUCCGGUGGCGAAGGCGGCACGCUGGACCUCUUCUGACGCUGAGGCGCGAAAGCCAGGGGAGCGAACGGGAUUAGAUACCCCCGUAGUCCCUGUCUCUUAUAC